UUCUAAACUUCCGGAUUCUCAUUGCAAUAUCAUAUCCAUCGAGGUCAUGCAUGUGGAGAUCUACGAAGAUAACUUGGAAAGGUGAUGCGGAGGUUCCCAAUGCAGCAAGGCAUUCAUGCCCGGAUGAGACAACGGAAACUACACAUCCCAGCUUCUCCAGGAGCUUUCGAGUUACAGCAAGGUUUACAUCAUCAUGAUCAGCUAACAGCACCUGCCGCCCAAUAAAUAGAGAAUUUGAGUUUUGGAGCUCAGAGGAUGUCUCGCCAGUUUCUGAAACGCCUACU
rnacentral:lncRNA from 1 species